rnacentral:rRNA from 1 species
UACGGAGGGAGCUAGCGUUGUUCGGAAUUACUGGGCGUAAAGCGCGCGUAGGCGGCUUUGUAAGUUAGAGGUGAAAGCCCGGGGCUCAACCCCGGAAUUGCCUUUAAGACUGCAUCGCUUGAAUCCGGGAGAGGUGAGUGGAAUUCCGAGUGUAGAGGUGAAAUUCGUAGAUAUUCGGAAGAACACCAGUGGCGAAGGCGGCUCACUGGACCGGCACUUGACGCUGAGGGUGACG